rnacentral:rRNA from 1 species
UUUCGCAAUGCCCGAAAGGGUGACGAAGCGACGCCGCGUGUGGGAAGAAGGCCUUCGGGUUGUAAACCACUGUCGGGAGUUAAGAAAUGCAAGGAUAUUAAUAGUGUCUUUGCUUGACUAAGGCUCCGGAGGAAGCCACGGCUAACUCUGUGCCAGCAGCCGCGGUAAUACAGAGGCGGCAAGCGUUGUUCGGAAUUAUUGGGCGUAAAGAGCACGUAGGCGGCUAUGUAAGUCGGUUGUGAAAGCCUUCCGCUCAACGGGAGAACAGCAUCCGAUACUACAUGGCUUGAGUGCGGGAGGGGAGAGUGGAACUUCUGGUGGAGCGGUGAAAUGCGUAGAUAUCAGAAGGAACGCCGGCGGCGAAAGCGGCUCUCUGGCCCAUAACUGACGCUGAGUGUGCGAAAGCUAGGGGAGCAAACGGGAUUAGAUACCCCGGUAGUCCUAGCCGUAAACGAUGGGCACUAAGUAGAGGGGUUUUA